UGCAGACUGUCAUCUUUACACACAAGGGAUCUAAUCAUUAUGUUUCCUUGGUUUCUAAAAUUGCAGUUUACCUGACUAAAGCAGUCUGGAUAAUGCUUAUAUUCAACGCACAGUGAGGUGAGAAAGAUACUGUAUUUCUCCUUGGGGCUCUUUCAAACUACGAAUCUACCUGCCCCUAAGAAUCCAUUACCUUUGAGAAAAGUCCUUGUGACUGGGAGCCACUAUGACAGAUUUGGGGAACGUGUUGGGGAGUGUGAUUAAUGCAUCAGGAAUGCUAGAUGAGACAAAGUUUGAAGUUCUCUAUGGAGAGUGUAUAAUUUGAACCAGAGGUUCUCAAAUUGCUGAUGUUCUUUGUGUGGGUGUCGGUCAGUGAGCUCAUGGCAGAAUCAACUGGAAAUUUCUUCAACAUCACAAAUCCCCACUGUGACUACAGAUCUUUUGAAUCAGAAUACCUGAAGAUAGUUGGCAUGUGAACUGAGAGUAUGGAGGAAUCACCAGGUAAACUGGUUAAAGAAGAAGACGGAAUAACCAGGCUGAUUUUUCUUACCUUAACAGUGGGAAUGGCUUUAUGAUGCAUAUCAUCUCAUUCAGCGUAGUCUUCUUCCAGUAAAUUUCUCAACUGUCUCCAAGAUUAUACUUCUAAAUGCAUGUGAAUCGUGGUAAUCCACUCUUUAAAAUCU
rnacentral:lncRNA from 10 species